rnacentral:rRNA from 1 species
AAACACGGACCAAGGAGUUUAUAGUACACGCGAGUCAUUGAGUUCCACGAACCUCAAAGGCGUAAUGAAAGUGAAACUAUCAAUAGUUGGAAUGCGAUCGGUGAAUUGUUUCGCGACGUUCGCCGAGCAGCGUUGCCCCAUUCCUGGAGCUUGCUCUGGUGUGGAGGUUGAGCGUGUGCAAUGAGACCCGAAAGAUGGUGAACUAUGCCUGAACAGGAUGAAGCCAGAGGAAACUCUGGUGGAAGUCCGAAGCGGUUCUGACGUGCAAAUCGAUCGUCUGAUUUUGGUAUAGGGGCGAAAGACUAAUCGAACUAUCUAGUAGCUGGAUCCUUC